CUACGUGCCAGCAGCCGCGGUAAUACGUAGGUCCCGAGCGUUGUCCGGAUUUAUUGGGCGUAAAGCGAGCGCAGGCGGUUAGAUAAGUCUGAAGUUAAAGGCUGUGGCUUAACCAUAGUACGCUUUGGAAACUGUUUAACUUGAGUGCAGAAGGGGAGAGUGGAAUUCCAUGUGUAGCGGUGAAAUGCGUAGAUAUAUGGAGGAACACCGGUGGCGAAAGCGGCUCUCUGGUCUGUAACUGACGCUGAGGCUCGAAAGCGUGGGGAGCAAACAGGAUUAGAUACCCUGGUAGUCCACGCCGUAAACGAUGAGUGCUAGGUGUUGGGUCCUUUCCGGGACUCAGUGCCGCAGCUAACGCAUUAAGCACUCCGCCUGGGGAGUACGACCGCAAGGUUAAAACUCAAAUGAAUUGACGGGGGCCCGCACAAGCGGUGGAGCAUGUGGUUUAAUUCGAUGCAACGCGAAGAACCUUACCUACUCUUGACAUCCAGA
rnacentral:rRNA from 1 species